GUUGGUAAGUAGACAAUAAAGUGAGUAGGUCUUUCAAAUACAUGCCAAGGAAACAUUCUUCCUUUUACUGUCUUCAAAGUUAAACUUAGUUGAAGCCUGCGGGCCUGUAACUUAAGCAAGAUUAUGAAAUUUGAUUAUGAUGCAGCCAGUUGACUUUAGGUCCAAAUGCUAUACUUGACUUGUAAGCCUCUGAGUGUCUGUUGGUAUAAUUUUAUAAGGGCUAAGGGCUGUGGGUUACCCUGACAUGGCCCAGGCUCUGAAUGUCUGGCCACUCAUGGAAAGAACCAUGGAAGGAAGGAAGUUCUGUAAGAAAAAGUUUUGUGACUCAGGGUGGUCUGAAAGGCCCAAACACACAGCCAGAUCUUUAUGCGGUCAUCCCAACUGCAGGAAUCUGUUGAUGGAAUCACUCUCCUUCCCAGAUUUGGUGAGACCAAAUGAAUUCCAGGCUGUUAGGGCAACAGCUUCCAUACUGUUGUCUUCUAGAAGGUGGCAUGUAUAUACCCACUCUGAAAUGGUUGAAUAUACCUGAAAAAGAAAUUAGUGAACUGAAAGUUCGGGUUGAUUAGACAAACCUCUGAUAAGACCGUUCAGGAAAAGGAAAGAAGAUGCCAAAAAAUUGACAUCACCCAUAACAUUCACAUUCUACUGUUGAAACAACGCAACAGGGAAACCCAGAUGGCUAAUAAACAUAUGAAGAGCUGUUAGCCCUCACUGGUCAUCACAGAAAUAUAACUCAGAGCAAUUAGGGAGUCUGAUAUUAUCAAAUAGUCGUGAGGAUGUUGGGAAAUAAGAAACUUCCUAUACUGCUUAAAGGAAAGUAAACUGCUACAUCCAUUCCUAAGAGCAACCUGGAAGAAUCUGGUGAACUAAUUAUACUUUCUAUGAUGUAGCAAUUACACUCCUUAGAGCUCUUACACAUAUUCCUGAGAAUGUUUAACAAAGCACUAUUUGUGGCUCUCUUUCAGGGAGAUUAAACAUACACCCAAAAAACAAUCCUACACUCAUUGUAAAGGUUACGUGUGUACCUAAGUAAACACAGAAAUGACAGGCUAGAAGUGCAUAUAUUAAGUAGUCAAAAAUGUGCAAAGGGUAGGGAUGGUGGAAUGGUGUAUGAAUGGAAUAAAUAGUAAAAUAAAAGUAGAAAAGAAAAAUAUAAAGGGCAUUGGUAGAUGUCAAUAGCAUGCAAUGAAAUGGAGCAUGUGAUCCAUUCAUUUUUGUGCAUUCCAUAUUCUAAAAUAAUAAAUGGUGGAAUCAAGA